rnacentral:tRNA from 14 species
GGUUAGAGCGCACCCCUGAUAAGGGUGAGGUCGGAAGUUCAAAUCUUCCCAGACC